GCUAGUGUUAAGCAAGACGGGACAAAGGAGUGGAGACUGAACUUGAUCUCUUUACAAGGUGAAUUUAGACAUAUGAGCACUCCAGGAGGAGAUCUGAUUUGACAAACAUGUCUAGAAAGAGGAAAAGCAAGCACUGGCAUUAACUUGGCUUCCACUGAGACUGGGCUCCAUUAGUGAACUAAAUGUUGGUAUUCUGGGAAAAGCCAGCUUGUUACUGGAAAUUUUAAUUCUUUGAAAAAAAUGGCAUUAGAUUUGCCUUUGGUUGUUGCAUUCCAAGAGCUCUUGCCUAUGAAACCAUUCUUGAUCAUAGAGUGCAGCAAGUCUACAAGAAUGUUCAAUUUAUCUGCUACCAGUCAUCAUUUCUUGCCCUGGCAGACAUUGCUAAUCAAUCUGAUGCUGACUCAGCUCACAUUUAAACUAAGAUUUCCUGAGAUGAUUCUGUAUGCAACCACUACCAACUGAUGAGUGCUGACAUGAAUAUGAAACCUGUUUGAACUCCUUGUGCUUUUAUGGUGUGUACUUUACAAUGAACUCUG
rnacentral:lncRNA from 1 species